UACGUAGGGUGCGAGCGUUGUCCGGAAUUACUGGGCGUAAAGAGUUCGUAGGUGGUUUGUCGCGUUGUUCGUGAAAUCUCACGGCUUAACUGUGAGCGUGCGGGCGAUACGGGCAGACUAGAGUACUGCAGGGGGAGACUGGAAUUCCUGGUGUAGCGGUGGAAUGCGCAGAUAUCAGGAGGAACACCGGUGGCGAAGGCGGGUCUCUGGGCAGUAACUGACGCUGAGGAGCGAAAAGCGUGGGGGAGCGAACAGG
rnacentral:rRNA from 1 species